UAGGGAAUCUUCCGCAAUGGACGAAAGUCUGACGGAGCAACGCCGCGUGAGUGAGGAAGGUCUUCGGAUCGUAAAACUCUGUUGUCAGGGAAGAACCGCCGGGAUGACCUCCCGGUCUGACGGUACCUGACGAGAAAGCCCCGGCUAACUACGUGCCAGCAGCCGCGGUAAUACGUAGGGGGCAAGCGUUGUCCGGAAUUAUUGGGCGUAAAGCGCGCGCAGGCGGCUUCUUAAGUCAGGUGUGAAAGCCCACGGCUCAACCGUGGAGGGCCAUCUGAAACUGGGGAGCUUGAGUGCAGGAGAGGAGAGCGGAAUUCCACGUGUAGCGGUGAAAUGCGUAGAGAUGUGGAGGAACACCAGUGGCGAAGGCGGCUCUCUGGCCUGUAACUGACGCUGAGGCGCGAAAGCGUGGGGAGCAAACAGG
rnacentral:rRNA from 1 species